rnacentral:rRNA from 1 species
GAAAGUAAAGAAGGGCGCAUGGCGGAUGCCUUGGCUCUCGGAGGCGAUGAAGGACGUGAUAAGCUGCGAUAAGCUUUGGGGAGGUGCAAAUGACCUUUGAUCCAGAGAUUUCCGAAUGGGACAACCCAAUAUCUUGAAGAGGUAUUAUCCAACGUUGUUGGAGGCUAACGCAGGGAACUGAAACAUCUUAGUACCUGCAGGAAAAGAAAAUAAACAAUGAUUCCCCCAGUAGUGGCGAGCGAACGGGGAACAGCCCAAACCAUCCAUGUUACGGCAUGGGUGGGGUUGUAGGACUACGCCGUUGCAUGAAGACAUCAGAGAAGAACUUUCUGGAAAGAAAGACCAUAGAGCAUGACAGUUGCGUAUUCGAAUGUUGUCGAAGCAUAGUAGUAUCCUGAGUAGCGCGGAGCACGAGGAAUUCUGCGUGAAUCUGCCGGGACCAUCCGGUAAGGCUAAAUACUCCCGAGAGACCGAUAGCGAACCAGUACCGUGAGGGAAAGGUGAAAAGCACUUCGAACAGAAGAGUGAAAUAGUUCCUGAAACCGUGCGCCUACAAGCGGUCGGAGCUCGUUAAUGAGUGACGGCGUGCCUUUUGCAUAAUGAACCUACGAGUUGCCUUUGCCGGCAAGGUUAAGUGUGACGACACACGUAUCCGAAGCGAAAGCGAGUCUGAAGAGGGCGUAUAGUCGGCAGUGGCAGACGCGAAACCAAGUGAUCUACCCUUGGCCAGGUUGAAGGCUGGGUAACACCAGCUGGAGGACCGCACCAAUAAGCGUUGAAAAGCUUCUGGAUGAGCUGAGGGUAGGGGUGAAAGGCUAAUCAAACUUGGAGAUAGCUCGUACUCCCCGAAAUGCAUUUAGGUGCAGCCUUGCGGGUUACUGAUGUGAGGUAGAGCGACUGAUAAGAUGCGAGGGCUUCACCGCCUAUCAAGUCUUGACAAACUCCGAAUGCGUGUCAGUUCUAUGUCAGGAGUGAGGGCAUGGGUGCUAAGGUCCAUGUCCUAAAGGAGAACAAUCCGGACCAACAGCUAAGGUCCCGAAAUGAAUACUAAGUUGAACUAACGAAGUCAGAUUGCUAAGACAGCUAGGAUGUUGGCUUGGAAGCAGCCAUUCAUUUAAAGAGUGCGUAACAGCUCACUAGUCGAGGAGUUUGGCGUGGAUAAUAAUCGGGCAUAAGUAUUCUACCGAAGCUUUGGGAUGAGAAAUCAUCGGUAGGGGAGCAUUCCACUCGGCGUCGAAGGUGAGGCGCGAGCCUUGCUGGAGCGUGUGGAAAAGCAAAUGUAGGUAUAAGUAACGAUAAAGGGGGCGGGAAACCCCCUCGCCGAAAGACUAAGGUUUCCUGAUCAACGCUAAUCGGAUCAGGGUCAGUCGGGUCCUAAGGCUCAGCCGAACGGCGAUGCCGAUGGCAGAAACGGUUAAUAUUCCGUUACUACCUUCAGGAGUGACGUGGAGACGCAGUAGUGACAGUGCCGCCAUCUGACGGAAUAGAUGGUUGAAGGGUGUAGGAGUCGAUCAUGGCAGGCAAAUCCACCAUGAGAUCCGAACCUGAUAGUAUGCCGCGUCCUUCGGGACAAGGCAAUAGUGCGCGUAAGCAUGCUGCCGAGAAAAUCCGCUAAACUUAAUCCUGCAGGUACCCGUACCGCAAACGGACACACGUAGUCGGGUUGAAUAUACUAAGGCGCUUGAGUGAUUCACGGUUAAGGAACUAGGCAAACUGACCCUGUAACUUCGGGAUAAAGGGUCCCUACCCUUUUAUGGGAGGGCGCAGAGAAUCGGUCCAGGCAACUGUUUAACAAAAACACAGGGCUGUGCAAAAUAGAAAUAUGAAGUAUACAGCCUGACACCUGCCCGGUGCUGGAAGGUUAAGAGGAGAUGUCAUCGCAAGAGAAGCAUUGAAUUGAAGCCCCAGUAAACGGCGGCCGUAACUAUAACGGUCCUAAGGUAGCGAAAUUCCUUGUCGGGUAAG